GAAUGUGUCCUGCGGUUUGACUAAAUAACGGGAAAACCUACCCGGCCGCUGACACAGGGAGCUAGAAAGAUUUAAGAGCUUUUGCUUAAUUUUGUGGGAGAUGAUGCUUUGUUAGUAGAUGAGACGAUUUCUCUGGUUAAUUCCGAUAACAAAUGCGACUCUAGUUAACUAGAUAAGCGUUUUAAAUCUUAAGUCAAACGAUAUAUUUUGUUGGACGUUUUCACCCAAUUAUCGUAAAACUAAAGAACUUUAAUUGGAGUUUUUAUGUUGGCAGUCUUCGUAUUUGCAAUAAAGGGUAACACCAAAAUGACGCGGUGAUUGACUGUUGUUAAAUGUUCGAAUUCUUUAGCUAGAUGCUGAUUGGGGAAAAGCAUACAACUUUCUGAGGAGAGAGAAAAAAAAUGUAACGUCUUUCUUGCGAAGCUAAAGCCGGCAGAAAAAAAAUUAUUUAAAACAGUUGUUUGCCCGAAAACGACACAUGUUUUUUUAAUAAUAAAUUCUUUAAAUCUCCGAUAUCGCACGCUCACUUUCUUAAAGGAAUAAGCCUGCUACUUCGUUCGCUAGGACUGUGUAUUCCGUUGAAUUUCCUUCUUGGUGGGGAUAGAGACUUGUAAUUUUCCCCCUUGAACGAAGAUUC
rnacentral:ncRNA from 1 species